UAGUUGCCUAAUACUCACUGAUAGCUUAAAAUUGGAACAAAACAAAGAUUAGUAUGGCCUCGGCACAAGGAUGACAUAUAAAUUUGCAAAACAUUUUAUAUAUGU